AGCAGCCGCGGUAAUUCCAGCUCCAAUAGCGUAUAUUAAAGUUGCUGCAGUUAAAAAGCUCGUAGUUGAAUUUCGGGACCAAUAUUUCGGUCGUGCCUCGGUACGUACUGGCAUCGUUGGUUUCUCCCUUCUGACGAACCAUGAUGCCAUUUAUUUGGUGUCGUGGGGAAUCAGGACUGUUACUUUGAAAAAUUAGAGUGUUUAAAGCAGGCUCACGCUUGAAUACAUUAGCAUGGAAUAAUGAAAUAGGACGUUUGAUUCUAUUUUGUUGGUUUCUAGGAUCGACGUAAUGAUUAAUAGGGAUAGUUGGGGGCAUUAGUAUUCAAUUGUCAGAGGUGAAAUUCUUGGAUUUAUUGAAGACUAACUACUGCGAAAGCAUUUGCCAAGGAUGUUUUCAUUAAUCAAGAACGAAAGUUAGGGGAUCGAAGACGAUCAGAUACCGUCGUAGUCUUAACCAUAAACUAUGCCGACUAGGGAUCGGAUGAUGUUAAUUUUUAAUGUACUCA
rnacentral:rRNA from 1 species